rnacentral:rRNA from 1 species
UACGGGGGGAGCAAGCGUUGUUCGGAUUUACUGGGCGUAAAGGGCGCGUAGGCGGCCAGUGCAAGUCAGUUGUGAAAUCUCCGAGCUUAACCCGGAAAGGUCAACUGAUACUGCUCGGCUAGAGUGCGGAAGGGGCAACUGGAAUUCUUGGUGUAGCGGUGAAAUGCGUAGAUAUCAAGAGGAACACCUGCGGCGAUGGCGGGUUGCUGGGCCGACACUGACGCUGAGGCACGAAGGCCAGGGGAGCAAACGGG